UUUAACAGUUUGCUUUUGCCUCUUUCCGAAAGCUUACGCGUCAUAUUCUUGUAACAGAUGCUACUUGGACCAGAAAUAAUUUCGAUUGCACUAGUUGCAAUUAAGGCACUUAUAAAAGUUGUGCUUAUCUUAUGAACCAUCAAUUAAUUAUUAAUUAAUUUAUAUAUUUGAAUACAAAUCUCAAAAUAUGACCAAAUCAAAAGCGACGUAUGAACUGAUACCUCCCGAUGGUGGAUGGGGCUACGCUGUAACAUUCGCUCUCUCCAUAAUGAUGACAUCGACUAUCGUGCCCAUUUCGUCUUUCGCUUUAGUUUUCGGAAAUUAUUUAGCAACGUUUACUGACGAAACGUAUGCUACUGCCAUCGUAAGUUCCCUGUUUGGAACAAUACUUCAUAUCACAGGUAAUUUUAUUAUUUGUUUUUU